rnacentral:rRNA from 1 species
UACGAAGGGGGCGAGCGUUGUUCGGAAUUACUGGGCGUAAAGGGCGCGUAGGCGGCGAUCCUAGUCAGAUGUGAAAGUCCUGGGCUUAACCUGGGGACUGCAUUUGAUACUGGAUUGCUUGAAUUCGGGAGAGGAUAGCGGAAUUCCCAGUGUAGAGGUGAAAUUCGUAGAUAUUGGGAAGAACAUCGGUGGCGAAGGCGGCUAUCUGGACCGACAUUGACGCUGAGGCGCGAAAGCGUGGGGAGCAAACAGG